GUUGCAAGCCGGAAAGAGCAGUAAUUAUAGCCUACAAACUUUGGAUUCCAUGAUGGUCUCCCAUAAAGUUUAAAACAGAACUGAUCCUACUUCAUUUUCAGAGAUUGGACCAAGUAAGGUUGGUGGUGCCAGUCAACCGGUUUCACUAGGUUCAUCUUGCGAAUGUUGGCAUGCUCUCUAGGUAUCUGCCACUUAUCCCUAGUCCUUUGAAUUACAGGGAGAAGGAAACCAAAGAAGGAUGUUGAUCCAGUGCUACCUGGAAAAAAAACAUUGUACUUUCUGCUAUUCACUGCCUUCAUAAAGAACAAUCAAUAAGUGGAACAACUUGCCUGCAAAAAUUGAAUGCUCCAAUGCUGGAAAUUUUAAAGAAAAUGUUGGAUAGCCAUUUGUCUGAAAUGGUGUAGAGUUUCCUGCCUGGGCAGGGGGUUGGACUAGAAGACCUCCAAGGUCCCUUCCAACUCUGUUAUUAUGUAGGUAUGUUAUGUAUGUAAUCUAUAUGGAGAGCAUAAUAGGUCGAAUUAUCUGAACUGCAUUUUGAUUUUAAUAUUCAUUUCUCAUCCUUGUAUGACCCAUACUAUAUGACCCACCUUGUAUGACCCACAUGACCCACACUGCAACCAUUUCUAAACAAUAGAUAAAGUCAAUUUGAAUUUUAGAGAAACUCCAGAGCCCAUCACACCUCACAAGGAACAUUUCACAUUUAAAAGACCAUCAAUCUUUGUGGGGGGAAAUGUAAUUGUCUUGCUAAAGUUCCAUGUUUGCCCUGAAAUCAGAAGCCCUAAAUAGCAUGUCAACAGCAGAAUCCUAGCCCCUGUUUGCCACUAGAUUAACUGGAGAGAUGACAAGGGCAGUGAUUCAACUUCAGGUCCAUUAGACUCACUGUGAAAGGUUUCAUUCACUUACCAGCUGGCAGUGUGAAACACAAUCUAAAGAUGGGAACAAGCACUGUGUUGGAAGCCAAGCUGGUCUUCCUACCAUCUAACACCAAAGUGGCAAUUAAUUACAUAUGGAAUGUGGCCAGGCACUUCUGCAUUAUAAUCAAACGAGACCACACAGAGAAAAAGACAAUGCUUCAUCAUGUAUUUAGCAAUGGAGGAAAAAAGUGGUGUGUUUGUCUGUAUAUGUGUGUGUGUGUGUGUGUGUGUGCGUGCGUGCACACAUGCGUGCAUUCAGUAUUUUCACAAUUAUAAAAGAGAAAUAGGAAACCAGCUGGCAGGGCAUUUUUACAAUGAUUAAACAACAUGUUCAUAAGCUUCAGUGUAAUCCAUUCAAAAAUAAAUCUCACUGGGAGAAUAGAAUUACUUUUGUUUAAAAAUGCAGUCUAAGCUGCAAUGUUCAAUUUCCAAAGAAAUAAAUCUGAGAACAUUAAGAAAGAAAGAAAAACCUUGCAGGAUCAGCCGAAAGACCUAUCUAAUCCAGCGUUCUUCUCCAUAUAGUGGCUAGGAAGAUUAUGACAUGAGGUUGACCGACCACUGUAUGGUGAUAGUCCAUAUCAAUAUAUAUUUAACCAUAUUGAUCAUAUUUAAGACAUGCUGCUUUUGAUUCUGGACAUCAUAGGAUGCCAUGAAGGCCACCAGCCACAUAUCCUGAUCAAAACUAAUGUGUCCAGUUCCGCUUUAAAACCAUCCCAAAUUGUGGUAAUGAAUUCUAUAUUGUACACAUUGUAACUUUGUCACCUUCGACAGGAUCUGGGUUUAGCUCAUAGAAUCAUCCAUUGUAAUGUCCUUCCUGAGUACAAUAACACAAGAGCUACCAACAGAUUUAAACUUAAUGUCAACCGCUCCAGUUUAGAUUACAGAAAACACGAUUUCUGUAACAGAAUUAUCUAUGCUUGGAAUGCAUUACCUGACUCUGUGGUCUCUUCUCAUAACCCCAAAAGCUUUACUCAAAAUCUAUCCACUGUUGACCUCACCACAUUCCUAAGAGGACUCUAAGGGGCGUGCAUAAGAGCACAAACGUGCCUACCGUUCCUGUCCUAUUGUUUCCUCCC